rnacentral:rRNA from 1 species
UACGUAGGGUGCGAGCGUUGUCCGGAAUUAUUGGGCGUAAAGAGCUCGUAGGCGGUGUGUCACGUCGGCCGUGAAAACCUGCAGCUUAACUGUGGGCGUGCGGUCGAUACGGGCAUCACUGGAGUUCGGCAGGGGAGACUGGAAUUCCUGGUGUAGCGGUGAAAUGCGCAGAUAUCAGGAGGAACACCAAUAGCGAAGGCAGCUCGCUGGGACGGUAUUGACGCUGAGGCGCGAAAGCGUGGGGAGCAAACAGG